rnacentral:rRNA from 1 species
AUUGAACGCUGGCGGCAUGCCUUACACAUGCAAGUCGAACGGUAACGCGGGGCAACCUGGCGACGAGUGGCGAACGGGUGAGUAAUGCAUCGGAACGUGCCCAGUAGUGGGGGAUAGCCCGGCGAAAGCCGGAUUAAUACCGCAUACGACCUUCGGGUGAAAGGGGGGGAUCGCAAGACCUCUCGCUAUUGGAGCGGCCGAUGUCAGAUUAGGGAGUUGGUGGGGUAAAAGCCUACAAAGCCGACGAUCUGUAGCUGGUCUGAGAGGACGACCAGCCACACUGGGAAUGAGACACGGCCCAGGCUCCAAUGGGAGGCAGCAGUGGGGAAUGUUGGACAAUGGGUGCAAGCCUGAUCCAGCCAUGCCGCGUGCGGGAAGAAGGCCUUCGGGUUGUAAACCGCUUUUGUCAGGGAAGAAACGCUUCGAGCUAAUACCUCGGAGUAAUGACGGUACCUGAAGAAUAAGCACCGGCUAACUACGUGCCUGCCGCUAGCGUUC